UGUUGGUUCUCCCGCAACGCUACUCUGUUUACCAGGUCAGGUCCGGAAGGAAGCAGCCAAGGCAGAUGACGCGUGUGCCGGUAUGUAGCUGGCAGGG
rnacentral:SRP_RNA from 1 species